CUCUUUAAUGGCUCUGAUGAGUUUGUGGCAAGGAAAGCGCGCGAGGUCGAACUAUUCUACAUACAGUGGCUUCACUAAAGUGCUCAGCAUCUCCAACGUUAUAAGGAAAACUACCGUUUGCAAAAAAACGUAACGCAAAAUAAAGAAUCUGCUCGGAUGUAAAAGUACGGCCACGACGGGCGACGUGUCUGAUGUAUGGGUGGAUAAGAUUAUUAAUAUACGUUAUGGAGUCUAGAGAAAAACAGUACCGCUCAAAAAUAAUUGCAAGGUGAUAUGACAGAAAAUUAACUCGUCGCGUCAAAAUCCUCUCACGGCGUAAAUUCAAUGCUGUGCGAAUUAAUACAGCCUCCUCAUCUACAGGAUCCUCUAGAAACGGACGUGGCAUUUUGGUCUCUUUAAAUACCUCGUUUAAUCUUUCAGUACAUUCAUAGAUUUUACCUGUUUCCUUCGCGCAGUGUUCACUUUAAAAAGGGGCGGAGACCGAAAGAAAACUCAGGGUUUCCCGAAUAAAACCUGCUCGCGACCAGGUUUGGUUCACAGAGUAAGUUGCCAUAGUAACUGACUCUGGGUUUCGGUUACCUCGCUUCUUGAAACGGGUUUAAACUUACCCCGCGUUACGGGUUUAAGUAACCUCGCUUUCUGAAACCGAAAACUGAGUUUUCCUCAUUUCGGGGUUAACAAACUCAGAGUUUCCACAAAACCUCCUUCUUGAAACGGGCCCCUGUGUUGCGUUACGUUUUUUGUUGCAAACAGUAGUUUUCUUUAUAACGUUGGAGAUGCUGAGCACAUUAGUAAAGCCACUGUAUGUAGAAUAGUUCGACCUCAAGCGCUUUCCUCGACACAAACUCCUCAGAACCAUUAUAGAGGAGUUUCACAGGAUUGCAGAUCAUAUGUGAUGCUACACAAGUGGCCCAGCUCUGGUCAUGACUCAUGAAUAUAUCGUGAGUCAACCCUAAGUAACAGACUGCACUGUGUAGGAGAGAUUGACGGCUUUCUGCUGGAGAUAGGGGUCACCCAUGCCAGCCCACACUACUGACCCCUCACCCAGAACCUGAAGCAGGCCCCCAGCAGUGCUUUAAUUUGGCCCUGCAGAACAAGAGCCUGGGUGGAAAUGACCGUAGGCCUGUUUAAAGCACGU